AUGUGUCGCUGGACGAAGUCUCAGCGCUUAGGUUGGUACGCAAAAGCAAAGCGGACGUCGGGGACUUUGCCGCUUAUUUUCCCAAACUUUCUCAAGCGUAAUCAGGGGAGAGGUGAAAGCGCCUAUUUCAAAAUCCACCCACCUUUUUUAUUUUUUAUUUUUUACUCUUUUUUAUUAUUAUUUUUAUUUUUAAGGGCAAAUUUGUCAUUAGCCGAGGGGGAACCCCGGCAGCCAGGUGCCGACGAGGAGCGACCUCCGCGCCCCGUCGGCUCUCCCGGAGAGGAUUUUGCUUUGCUGGAGGAUGGGCCACUGCGGGACGCGACAGGAAGGAGCGAGAGGCAGCUGGGGGAGACGAGCUGGGAAGCUGCCUCCACGCUGCCACCCCCCUUUUUUGGGUGGGGGGAUGUUAAAAAACGGAGUGCAUUUCCCGAGCUGGUACCUAAAGGCAUAGCCCGGUUCGCUUUCCCGUUUUGGUCCUUCGUAGGACUGAUCAAGUGCCUGACUCAGAUUGCCAUUUGGAACAUAAGCAAGCAGUGUCCAGAUUUCACCAUGAAGACAGAUUAG
rnacentral:lncRNA from 1 species